GGGGUUGUGGCUUAGCAGUCGAGCACUUGCCUUGGAUGUUAGAGGCACUGAGUUCAAUCCUCAGCACCA
rnacentral:tRNA from 1 species